rnacentral:rRNA from 1 species
UCGGGAAUUUUGGGCAAUGGGCGAAAGCCUGACCCAGCAACGCCGCGUGAGGGAUGAAGUAUUUCGGUAUGUAAACCUCGAAAGAAUGGGAAGAAUAAAUGACGGUACCAUUUAUAAGCUCCGGCUAACUACGUGCCAGCAGCCGCGGUAAUACGUAGGGAGCAAGCGUUGUUCGGAUUUACUGGGCGUAAAGGGCGCGUAGGCGGCGCGGUAAGUCACUUGUGAAAUCUCUGAGCUUAACUCAGAACGGCCAAGUGAUACUGCUGUGCUAGAGUGCGGAAGAGGCAACCGGAAUUCUUGGUGUAGCGGUGAAAUGCGUAGAUAUCAAGAGGAACACCUGAGGCGAAGGCGGGUUGCUGGGCCGACACUGACGGUGAUGCGCGAAAGCCAGGGGAGCAAA